rnacentral:rRNA from 1 species
CGUGCUUAAGACAUGCAAGUCGAACGGAAGGCCCCUUCGGGGGGUACUCGAGUGGCGCACGGGUGAGUAACGCGUGGGUAAUCUGCCUUCGGGUCUGGGACAACCCCGGGAAACUGGGGCUAAUACCGGAUAAGACCACGGACCUCUCGGGGUCUGCGGAAAAAGAUGGCCUCUCCUUGGAAGCUAUCGCCUGUCGAUGAGCCCGCGUCUGAUUAGCUUGUUGGUGAGGUAACGGCUCACCAAGGCUCCGAUCAGUAGCUGGUCUGAGAGGAUGAUCAGCCACACUGGAACUGAGACACGGUCCAGACUCCUACGGGAGGCAGCAGUCGGGAAUUUUGGGCAAUGGGCGAAAGCCUGACCCAGCAACGCCGCGUGAGGGAUGAAGGCCCUCGGGUCGUAAACCUCUGUCGGGAGGGAAGAACGGUGACUCUUCGAAUAGGUGAGUCGCCUGACGGUACCUCCAAAGGAAGCACCGGCUAACUCCGUG